AAUAUAACCAGGUUUAAUGGAUUCUUCAUUCCCUUAGACAUGAGUUGUCUCCAAUCCCUUAUCUACAUGAAGAUUUCUGAUUGUAAAAACCUUACCACUCUUCCCAACGACAUAUGUUCUUUCCAAUCCCUUACACAUUUAAAGAUUAAAAAGUGUUACAACCUCACCUCUCUUUCCAACGACAUGUGUUCUCUCCAAUCCCUUACACAUUUAAAGAUUAAACAUUGUUACAACCUCACCUCUCUUCCCAACGACAUGUGUUCUCUCCAAUCCCUUACACAUUUAAAGAUUUCUUAUUGUCGAAACCUCACUACUCUUCCCAACGACGUGUGUUUUCUCCAAUCCCUUACACAUUUAAAGAUUUCUGAUUGUCGAAACCUCACCACUCUUUCCAACGACAUGGGUUGUUUCCAAUCCCUUACACAUUUAGAGAUUUCUUCUUUUGAAAACCUUACCUCUCUUUUCAACGACAUGAGUUUUCUCCAAUCCCUUACACAUUUAAAGAUUAAAGAUUUUGAAAACCUCACCUCUCUUCCCAACGACAUGGGUUGUCUCCAAUCCCUUACACAUUUAGAGAUUUCUUCUUUUGAAAACCUUACCUCUCUUCCCAACGACAUGAGUUCUCUCCAAUCCCUUAUACAUUUAAAGAUUAAAGAUUUUGAAAACCUCACCUCUCUUCCCAACGACAUGGGUUGUCUCCAAUCCCUUACACAUUUAGUGAUUGUUCAUUGUCAAAAUCUUACAUCUCUUCCCAACGACAUAUGUCGUCUCAAGUCCCUCACUACUUUAAC
rnacentral:lncRNA from 1 species